UAAUAAGGAUCAAAGGCUUAAAUCGCAACAUCCUGUUAACAGACUUAAAACACAAUAUCCUGUCAUAUCCUGUCGUUUUGCCUGCAUUAGUAUGUCGCUUCGCCUUUGUGACCAACUUCCUGUUGG
rnacentral:sRNA from 1 species